UGGGGAAUUUUGGACAAUGGGCGCAAGCCUGAUCCAGCCAUGCCGCGUGCGGGAAGAAGGCCUUCGGGUUGUAAACCGCUUUUGUCAGGGAAGAAAUCUUCUGAGUUAAUACCUCGGGAGGAUGACGGUACCUGAAGAAUAAGCACCGGCUAACUACGUGCCAGCAGCCGCGGUAAUACGUAGGGUGCAAGCGUUAAUCGGAAUUACUGGGCGUAAAGCGUGCGCAGGCGGUUUUGUAAGACAGAGGUGAAAUCCCCGGGCUCAACCUGGGAACUGCCUUUGUGACUGCAAGGCUUGAGUGCGGCAGAGGGGGAUGGAAUUCCGCGUGUAGCAGUGAAAUGCGUAGAUAUGCGGAGGAACACCGAUGGCGAAGGCAAUCCCCUGGGCCUGCACUGACGCUCAUGCACGAAAGCGUGGGGAGCAAACAGGAUUAGAUACCCCUGGUAGUCCACGCCCUAAACGAUGUCAACUGGUUGUUGGGAAGGUUCCUUCUCAGUAACGUAGCUAACGCGUGAAGUUGACCGCCUGGGGAGUACGGCCGCAAGGUUGAAACUCAAAUGAAUUGACGGGGUCA
rnacentral:rRNA from 1 species